UUAAAAAUGAUGAUAGGGACAAGUAAAUAUAAAUAUACUUUAAAGAGAGUGCGUAUGAUGAAAAAACACAUUUAUAUUAUAUUGAAACUCACCCUUAAAUUGCAAUCUGAAAUCAGUAGGAUCAUGCCGGCAAAGCCGUUAAAUCAUUUGAGUGAUAAAUUUGGGUGGUACCGCGAUAGACCUUUCGCCCAUGG
rnacentral:ncRNA from 1 species